AAAAACAAAAAGAUGGUGAAGAAGUCAAAACCUGAGAGAAAAGAAAAGAAAAUGCCCAACCCCAGGCUAAAGGCUACAGUGACACCAAGUCCAGUGAAAGGCAAAGGGAAA